GUCGUUGCAACGGUAAUCCUGCUCAGUACGAGAGAAACCGCAGGUUCAGACAUUUGGUUUAUGUGCUUGGCUGAUAAGCCAAUGGUGCGAAGCUAACAUCUGAGGGAUUAUGACUGAACGCCUCUAAGUCAGAAUCUCACCCAGAUCUUAACAACAAUAAUUGAAGACCACGGUCGAUAGAAAUAAAAUUUGUUAUGUAAAUUUAUUUGUUAUCGUGUAUUGCUUUGUGAAGGUGAUUUAAGUUUGUUCAAAUGAAGGGCCACGCCUUUUUAGGUCACCUGAGUCACUCAGGUGACUGGGUCUCCAAAAUAAAUGUAAGCGAUAAAGUGAUUUUGUUUCAAUAAAUAAACAUGAUAAUGCUGUUGGUUUGGUUGAGCAUUUUAGAUAGUACUUGUUCACCCCUGCGAAUGUUAUUGUCAUUUAAAUUUAGACCACAUUGU
rnacentral:ncRNA from 1 species